rnacentral:misc_RNA from 1 species
GAUGAAGAACGUAGCGAAAUGCGAUAAGUAAUGUGAAUUGCAGAAUUCAGUGAAUCAUCGAAUCUUUGAACGCACAUUGCGCCCGCCAGUAUUCUGGCGGGCAUGCCUGUUCGAGCGUCAUUUCAACCCUCAGGGCCCUUUUGGACCUGGCGUUGGGGCUCGGCCGCUACCCUGCGGCCGUCCCCGAAAGAUAGUGGCGGUCUCGCUGUAGCCUCCUCUGCGUAGUAGUUACAUCUCGCACUGGAACGCGGCGCGGCCAUGCCGUUAAACACCCCACUUCUCAAGGUUGAUCUCGGAUCAGGUAGGAAUACCCGCUGAACUUAAGCAUAUCAAUAAGCGGAGGA